GAAAGAAUGCUGUGCCCAUGAUAUAGUCAGCAAAGCAAUGUCAGCAGAGGGAUGUACUCUAGGAUUCCAUGCAAGAUCAUGCUGAAGCCAAUAAGACAAACCAGAAUCUUCCCGGGGGAUACCUCUGUCCAGGACAACAGAGCCAGGUUACCAGGUCCAAGGAGCUGACUGUAAAGAGUUGGCCAGCUGAACCAGGACCAUUUGUUGAAAAUGCUGUCUUUAGGCAGUCAGGACUGAGAUGAAGUCUAUGGAGAGCUUGGCAGAAGAGCUGGGCUGGAAGGACAGGCUGGGUGAGAGCCACACAGGGAAGAUCCAGGACCCCUGCUGAUGUCACUCUCAGCUGUGAGCAGCCAACUUUCCCAGGGACAAUGUGGGACUGAGUGGCCCAGCCACCCUGCUGCCACUGCUGCCCCAGAUCUGCAGAAC